rnacentral:rRNA from 1 species
UACGUAGGGGGCGAGCGUUGUCCGAAGUUACUGGGCGUAAAGCGCGCGUAGGCGGUCCUUUAAGUCCGGGGUGAAAGGUUCAGCGCUCAACGUGAACAGUGCCCUGGAGACUGGGGGACUUGAGUGUGGGAGGGGGCAGUGGAAUCCCUGGUGUAGCGGUGAAAUGCGUAGAUAUCAGGAGGAACACCGAUGGCGAAGGCAGCUGCCUGGCCUGACACUGACGCUGAGGUGCGAAAGCGUGGGGAGCGAACGGG